rnacentral:rRNA from 1 species
GAUGAACGCUGGCGGCGUGCCUAAUACAUGCAAGUCGAGCGAACGGACGAGAAGCUUGCUUCUCUGAUGUUAGCGGCGGACGGGUGAGUACCACGUGGAUAACCUACCUAUAAGACUGGGAUAACUUCGGGAAACCGGAGCUAAUACCGGAUAUUAUUUUGAACCGCAUGGUUCAAAAGUGAAAGACGGUCUUGCUGUCACUUAUAGAUGGAUCCGCGCUGCAUUAGCUAGUUGGUAAGGUAACGGCUUACCAAGGCAACGAUGCAUAGCCGACCUGAGAGGGUGAUCAGCCACACUGGAACUGAGACACGGUCCAGACUCCUACGGGAGGCAGCAGUAGGGAAUCUUCCGCAAUGGGCGAAAGCCUGACGGAGCAACGCCGCGUGAGUGAUGAAGGUCUUCGGAUCGUAAAACUCUGUUAUUAGGGAAGAACAUAUGUGUAAGUAACUGUGCACAUCUUGACGGUACCUAAUCAGAAAGCCACGGCUAACUACGUG